rnacentral:rRNA from 1 species
UACGUAGGGGGCAAGCGUUGUCCGGAUUUAUUGGGCGUAAAGAGCGUGUAGGCGGCCUUACAGGUCAGCUGUGAAAACUCGAGGCUCAACCUCGAGACGUCGGUUGAAACCGUAUGGCUAGAGUCCGGAAGAGGAGAGUGGAAUUCCUGGUGUAGCGGUGAAAUGCGCAGAUAUCAGGAAGAACACCCGUGGCGAAGGCGGCUCUCUGGGACGGUACUGACGCUGAGACGCGAAAGCGUGGGGAGCGAACAGG